rnacentral:rRNA from 1 species
GACGAACGCUGGCGGCGUGCCUAAUACAUGCAAGUCGAACGCAGUGGGGACGGGGGAGUAACACGUGGGUAACCUCCCAUCAGAGGGGAUAACACGUGGAAACAGGCGCUAAACCGCUACUGGUGGAUGGACUCGCUGGGAAUUAGCUAGUUGGUGAGGUAACGGCUCACCAAGGCCACGAUGCAUAGCUGGUCUGAGAGGGGGAUCAGCCACACUGGGACUGAGACACGGCCCAGACUCCUACGGGAGGCAGCAGUAGGGAAUCUUGGGCAAUGGACGAAAGUCUGAUCGAGCAACGCCGCGUGAGUGAAGAAGGUUUUCGGAUCGUAAAGCUCUGUUGUCAGGGAAGCGGUAUCUGAAGAGAAAGCCACGGCUAACUACGUGCCAGCAGCCGCGGUAAUUC